UAAAAAGACUGGGAGAAGGGAAAUAAAAU
rnacentral:piRNA from 1 species